UUUAUAUUCUCCACGGGGGGGAUGAGAACCCCCGACCGGGGUUCGACAACUGGCAACGCCAGUUGGACAGACCGCGAGCCUGCGAGCGGGCUGCCCCGCAGGGGCGAGCGAAGCGAGUCAAUCCCCCCCUCACCGCCA
rnacentral:sRNA from 2 species